GGAAGUAAAAGUCGUAACAAGGUUUCCGUAGGUGAACCUGCGGAAGGAUCAUUAGUGAAUCUAGGACGUCCAACUUAACUUGGAGUCCGAACUCUCACUUUCUAACCCUGUGCAUCUGUUUUAAAAUUGGCUAGUAGCUCUUCGGAGCGAACCACCAUUUUUCACUUAUACAAACACAAAGUCUAUGAAUGUAAACAAAUUUAUAACAAAACAAAACUUUCAACAACGGAUCUCUUGGCUCUCGCAUCGAUGAAGAACGCAGCGAAAUGCGAUACGUAAUGUGAAUUGCAGAAUUCAGUGAAUCAUCGAAUCUUUGAACGCACCUUGCGCUCCUUGGUAUUCCGAGGAGCAUGCCUGUUUGAGUGUCAUGAAAUCUUCAACCCACCUCUUUCUUAGUGAAUCUGGUGGUGCUUGGUUUCUGAGCGCUGCUCUGCUUCGGCUUAGCUCGUUCGUAAUGCAUUAGCAUCCGCAACCGAAACUUCGGAUUGACUUGGCGUAAUAGACUAUUCGCUGAGGAUUCCAGACUUGUUCUGGAGCCGAGUUGGGUUAAAGGAAGCUUCUAAUCCUAAAGUCUAUUUUUUGAUUAGAUCUCAAAUCAGGUAGGACUACCCGCUGAACUUAAGCAUAUCAAUAAGCGGAGGAA
rnacentral:rRNA from 1 species